AAUCCACGUUUUGAUUUCGUUUACAGAAGAACUUAAUUUCACAAAUUUCCAGCAACUCCAAAAGUGCUUGAUCAGUACAAACCCAGCUUUAUCACAGCGUUCAGUAUGACGUGAACUAUUUUUCCGAAGUCAUUGUUCAUAUACUGGCAGCUUCCUAAGGCUUUAGAAGAACAUUUGAAGGGUAAAUAGGAAGCUCUGAACGUUCAGAACAUUUGUGUGUGUCCUAUGAAAGGUGUUGUCCAACAAACAAACAUCUCCCUUAUCCAUAGUUAAAAUGGAUUGCUAUUGUAACAACAAAGAAAGGCGUAUAAAUGUUGUUUCAGCAGAGCAGAUGAAUGCAUCAAUGUCACACUUGUUUUGUCUUUUUCCACAUGAAAGAGGGUAACAUGGCUUGGUAGAUAUGCAUUCAUUAAAGGCUCAAUACAGCAAUUUCAUGAGAUCAUUGAUAAUUCGUGUGUGCAGGGACCUCAGGAGGUCUCCAGUCCAACCUCCUCUCACAACAGGAUCAGCUAAUUGACCUUAAUUUGCUCAGGAAUUUUUGCAUCUGGAUUUUCAAAACAUCCAAGAGUGGAGACUCAGUAACCUCUCUGCAUAGCUUGCUCCUGUGUUGUGCCUUCCUUAUGGGGAAAGGGCUUUUCUUUGUAAUCAGCCUAAAUCUCUCCGGUUUAAAGUUAUGUCUGCUGUCUCUCAACUUCCCACAUGCACCAUGGAGAAAAGUCUAGAACUGUCUUCAGUACUGUAGUACAGGCAGGCUGCUGUUAGAUC